rnacentral:rRNA from 1 species
AUUGAACGCUGGCGGCAGGCCUAACACAUGCAAGUCGAACGAGUGGCGGACGGGUGAGUAAUGUCUGGGAAACUGCCUGAUGGAGGGGGAUAACUACUGGAACCGGUAGCUAAUACCGCAUACCAUCAGAUGUGCCCAGAUGUGAUUAGCUAGUUGGUGGGGUAACGGCUCACCAAGGCGACGACCCCUCGCUGGUCUGAGAGGAUGACGAGCCACACUGGAACUGGGACACGGUCACGACUCCUACGGGAGGCAGCAGUGGGGAAUAUUGCACAAUGGGCGCAAGCCUGAUGCAGCCAGGCCGCGUGUAUGAAGACGGCCUUCGGGUUGUAAAGUACUUUCAGCGGGGAGGCGUUACCCAAAGAAGAAGCACCGGCUAACUCCGUGCCAGCAGCCGCGGUAAUUC